AAUUAUUUGGCUGAUGGGAAAGCACUUGUCUUGAAAAUAAGAUAUAAAGGUUCAAAUCCUUUAAUAAUUU
rnacentral:tRNA from 1 species